ensembl:lncRNA
GGAGGUGACAGGGGAGCGGCCGUCUGAGCCAGGGUGGGGAGGGGCGCGCUGCAGGGACCCCCAGCAGAGGAGGAAGUGAAAGCCCUGGUGGUGAAGGAUGUUGCUCCGGCUGUUUAAGACAAACCCAGGGGAGGAGCGUCCAGCGGCAGGCCUCCUUUGGAGAAGGCUGGGACCAAAGUGCUGCAACCACCUCAGCUGUGAGUCAUCUCUGAAUCAUCGGCCUUACCUCCCCCGGAAACUUCAGGGGCUUCUUCUCUUCAGGAUGCCCUGCCAUCUUCUCAGAGGACUCAUGAGAUGGCGCUCGUGGUGGAGCUGCCAGCUGUGCCCACGAAAGCUACCAUGACCGUGUCUUCACUGGAGCUUGUGUGUGAUGGGGUCAGAAUUCCAUCCGCAAGAGCAACUGGGACCUGGAAGACUCCUCGCCUCUGGAGUCCCCUUGCAACCUGGAAGCUCCAGCACUUCCCUGGAGCCUAGCACACAUGCACAG